AAAAAGCUUAUAAGGGCAAAUGGUGGAUGCCUUGGGUGAUAGAGGCGAUGAAGGACGUACUAGACUGCGAUAAGCUAUGGGGAGCUGUCAAGAAGCUUUGAGCCAUAGAUUUCCGAAUGGGGCAACCCAAUACAUAGAGAUAUGUAUUACCAAUUAUGGAGCGAACCUAGCGAAGUGAAACAUCUCAGUAGCUAGAGGAAAAGAAAUCAAUAGAGAUUCUCUUAGUAGCGGCGAGCGAACGGGGAAGAGGGCAAACCGAAUGCUUGCAUUCGGGGUUGUGGACUGCAACAUCCACUUGUAUCAUUUAGCAGAAUUAUUUGGAAAACUAAGUCAUAGAGGGUGAUAGCCCCGUAUGCGAAAAAUGAUACAUAGGUAGCAGUAUCCAGAGUAGGUCAGGACACGUGAAAUCCAGACUGAAGCCGGGGAGACCACUCUCCAACCCUAAAUACUCCUAUCACACCGAUAGCGCACAAGUACCGUGAGGGAAAGGUGAAAAGAACCGCAGUGAGCGGAGUGAAAUAGAACCUGAAACCAUUUGCCUACAAUCAUUCAGAGCCCUAUGAUUUAUCAGGGUGAUGGACUGCCUUUUGCAUAAUGAUCCUGCGAGUUGUGGUAUCUGGCAAGGUUAAGCAAACGCGAAGCCGUAGCGAAAGCGAGUCUGAAAGGGCGUUUAGUCAGAUGCUGCAGACCCGAAGCCAAGUGAUCUAUCCAUGGCCAAGUUGAAGUAAGUGUAAUAGCUUAUGGAGGACUGAACUCGUACCCAUUGAAACGGGUUGGGAUGAGCUGUGGAUAGGGGUGAAAGGCCAAACAAACUUGGUGAUAGCUGGUUCUCUUCGAAAUAUAUUUAGGUAUAGCCUCAAGUGAUAGUAAUAGGGGGUAGAGCUCUGAUUGGGCUAGGGCUACUCACCGUGGUACCAACCCCUGUCAAACUGCGAAUACCUAUUACCGUAUCUUGGGAGUCAGGCGGUGGGUGAUAAAAUCAAUCGUCGAAAGGGGAACAACCCAGACUACCAACUAAGGUCCCAAAGUUCUAUUCUAAGUGGAAAAUGAUGUGAAGUUACUUAGACAACCAGGAGGUUGGCUUAGAAGCAGCCAUCCUUUAAAGAAAGCGUAACAGCUCACUGGUCUAGUGAUUUUGCGCAGAAAAUAUAACGGGGCUAAGAUAGACACCGAAGUUGUAGAUGCUACUGAUGUAGCGUGGUAGAAGAGCGUUCGUAUUGCGUCGAAGGCAUACCGGUAAGGAGUGCUGGAGCGAUGCGAAGUGAGCAUGCAGGAAUGAGUAGCGAUAAAAGUGGUGAGAAUCCACUUCGCCGAAAAUCUAAGGUUUCCUACGCGAUGCUCGUCAUCGUAGGGUUAGUCGGGUCCUAAGACAAGUCCGAAAGGGGUAGUCGAUGGAAAAUGGGUUAAUAUUCCCAUACCAACAUAAGUGUGCGAUGGGGGGACGCAUAGGGCUAAAUGGCGUUAGCUGAUGGAAUAGCUAAUUUAAAAGUGUAGCUUGAGAGGUAGGCAAAUCCACUCUUGUAUGCGAAACUUGAAUAGCUUGUUGCGACCUUCGGGUCAAGAUGAGUGCCAUUGAUGCCGUCGUGCCAAGAAAAGCCUCUAAGUUUAGCUUAUGUUGCCCGUACCGCAAACCGACACAGGUAGAUGAGAUGAGUAUUCUAAGGCGCGUGAAAGAACUCUCUUUAAGGAACUCUGCAAACUAGCACCGUAAGUUCGCGAUAAGGUGUGCCUACGCAAGUAGGUCUCAGCAAAGAGUCCCUCCCGACUGUUUACCAAAAACACAGCACUUUGCAAACUCGUAAGAGGAAGUAUAAGGUGUGACGCCUGCCCGGUGCUCGAAGGUUAAGAGGAUUAGUCAGCAGCAAUGCGAAGCUUUGAAUUGAAGCCCGAGUAAACGGCGGCCGUAACUAUAACGGUCCUAAGGUAGCGAAAUUCCUUGUCGGUUAAAUACCGACCUGCAUGAAUGGCGUAACGAGAUGGGAGCUGUCUCAAAGAGUGAUUCAGUGAAAUUGUAGUGGAGGUGAAAAUUCCUCCUACCCGCGGCAAGACGGAAAGACCCCGUGGACCUUUACUACAGCUUGGCACUGCCGAUGGGAGCAUUAUGCGCAGGAUAGGUGGGAGGCUUUGAAAUCUUCACUCUGGUGGAGAUGGAGCCAUCGUUGAGAUACCACCCUUAAUGUUUCUGUCUGCUAACUGGCUUAUGUUAUCCAUAAGCAGGACAAUGCCUGGUGGGUAGUUUGACUGGGGCGGUCGCCUCCUAAAAAGUAACGGAGGCUUGCAAAGGUUGGCUCAUUGCGGUUGGAAAUCGCAAGGAGAGUGUAAUGGCAUAAGCCAGCCUGACUGUAAGACAAACAAGUCGAGCAGAGACGAAAGUCGGUCAUAGUGAUCCGGUGAUUCUGUGUGGAAGGGUCAUCGCUCAAAGGAUAAAAGGUACCCCGGGGAUAACAGGCUGAUCUCCCCCAAGAGCUCACAUCGACGGGGAGGUUUGGCACCUCGAUGUCGGCUCAUCGCAUCCUGGGGCUGGAGCAGGUCCCAAGGGUAUGGCUGUUCGCCAUUUAAAGCGGUACGCGAGCUGGGUUCAGAACGUCGUGAGACAGUUCGGUCCCUAUCUGCCGUGGGCGUAGGAGAGUUGAGGAGAGCUGUCCCUAGUACGAGAGGACCGGGAUGGACAUGCCACUGGUGUAUCUGUUGUUCUGCCAAGAGCAUCGCAGAGUAGCUACGCAUGGUUGUGAUAACCGCUGAAAGCAUCUAAGCGGGAAGCCAACUCCAAGAUGAACUCUCCCUGAAGGUCGCAGGAAGACUACCUGCUUGAUAGGGUAGAUGUGUAAGCAUAGUAAUAUGUUUAGCUGACUACUACUAAUAGACCGAUUGGCUUUUUUUAUAA
rnacentral:rRNA from 2 species